UGACAUCUAGUGCNAUUUGUAGAGAUACAAAGUUCCCUUCGGGGACGCUAAGACAGGUGGUGCAUGGCUGUCGUCAGCUCGUGUCGUGAGAUGUUGGGUUAAGUCCCGCAACGAGCGCAACCCUUGUUAUUAGUUGCCAGCAUUAAGUUGGGCACUCUAAUGAGACUGCCGGUGACAAACCGGAGGAAGGUGGGGAUGACGUCAAGUCAUCAUGCCCCUUAUGACCUGGGCUACACACGUGCUACAAUGGGCAGUACAACGAGAAGCGAGNCCUGCGAAGGCAAGCGAAUCUCUGAAAGCUGUUCUCAGUUCGGACUGCAGUCUGCAACUCGACUGCACGAAGCUG
rnacentral:rRNA from 1 species